rnacentral:rRNA from 1 species
GCGCAGGAAAAGAAACCAACAGGGAUUGCCUCAGUAACGGCGAGUGAAGCGGCAAAAGCUCAAAUUUGAAAUCUGGCGCCUUUGGCGUCCGAGUUGUAAUUUGUAGAGGUAGCUUUGGGUGUACAGCCAGGUUUAUGUUCCUUGGAACAGGACGUCAUGGAGGGUGAGAAUCCCGUAAAUGACUUGGCCAGUGCCUAUGUAUAGCGCCUUCGACGAGUCGAGUUGUUUGGGAAUGCAGCUCUAAGUGGGUGGUAAUUUCCAUCUAAAGCUAAAUACUGGCGAGAGACCGAUAGCGCACAAGUAGAGUGAUCGAAAGGUGAAAAGCACUCCGGAAGGAGAGUUAAACAGCACGUGAAAUUGUUGAAAGGGAAGCGCUUGAGACCAGACUCAGGCAGGGUUGAUCAACCUCCAUUCUUGGUGGUGCACUCUUCUCUGCCCGGGCCAGCAACAGUUUCGGCGGUGGUAUAAAGGUUUAGGGAAUGUGGCUCUCUUCGGGGAGUGUUAUAGCCCUAUUCGUAAUGCUGCCAGUUGAGACUGUGGACCGCGCUUCGGCUAGGUUGUUGGCGUAAUGGUCUUAAGCGACCCGUCUUGAAACACGGACCAAGGAGUCUAACAUCUAUGCGAGUGUUUGGGUGGAAAACCCUUACGCGUAAUGAAAGUGAACGGAGGUAGGAUCCCCGCAAGGGGCGCACUAUCGACCGAUCCUGAUGUUCUCGGAUGGAUAUGAAAUCGGCGACCUGCGGGCAUGCGAUCUUGACACUGGCCGUCGUUUUACACGUCCCGGCUGGGAAAGCCUAUCCCCGCUAAAGA